GACGAACGCUGGCGGCGUGCUUAACACAUGCAAGUCGAACGGAAAGGCCCUGCUUUUGUGGGGUGCUCGAGUGGCGAACGGGUGAGUAACACGUGAGUAACCUGCCCUUGACUUUGGGAUAACUUCAGGAAACUGGGGCUAAUACCGGAUAGGAGCUCCUGCUGCAUGGUGGGGGUUGGAAAGUUUCGGCGGUUGGGGAUGGACUCGCGGCUUAUCAGCUUGUUGGUGGGGUAGUGGCUUACCAAGUCUUUGACGGGUAGCCGGCCUGGGAGGGUGAACGGCCACAUUGGGACUGAGAUACGGCCCAGACUCCUACGUGAGGCAGCAGUGGGGAAUAUUGCACAAUGGGCGGAAGCCUGAUGCAGCAACGCCGCGUGCGGGAUGACGGCCUUCGGGUUGUAAACCGCUUUCGCCUGUGACGAAGCGUGAGUGACGGUAAUGGGUAAAGAAGCACCGGCUAACUACGUG
rnacentral:rRNA from 1 species